GAGGGUUAAGUCCCGCAACGAGCGCAACCCUUGUCUUUAAUUGCCAUCAUUGAGUUGGGCACUUUAAAGAGACUGCCGGUGUUAAACCGGAGGAAGGUGGGGAUGACGUCAAGUCCUCAUGGCCUUUAUGCCCAGGGCUACACACGUGCUACAAUGGGUGGUACAAAGAGCAGCCAGCUCGCGAGAGUGAGCAAAUCUCAAAAAGCCAUCCUCAGUUCGGAUUGAAGUCUGCAACUCGACUUCAUGAAGUUGGAAUCGCUAGUAAUCGCGGAUCAGCAUGCCGCGGUCGAAUACGUUCCGGGCCUU
rnacentral:rRNA from 1 species